GUAUCUGUCAGUGCUGGCUGAGUCUGCCUGUGUGUGCCAGUGUUAAAGGGUGGCCUUCCCUUGCUGUUUCAGGGUGCUUACAGUAGGGUAGGAAAGAAGAACCUGCUUUGGAGCAGCAUGGAAAUAAGUAGCAAAAGCUUUAUGAAAGAACAAGGAACUGGGAACAGCAAAAUUACUCAAGGAGGUCUAGUCCUGAGAGGAGGUCAAACACUGCUGCUACAAGGAACUAGAAGUGUUUUGCACCAGUUUUGUCAAACAGGGUUCCAGGCAGAGAGAACUGGCAGAUCAUCAGUAAAGACAGUACCUGUGGAGAGAGGAGAUAUUAGUGUUAAGGUAGUGUUGAAAUACAGAUCUGGAGGAAGACGACUCAAGCAUACUCAAGAAAAUAAAAGUUGACAAGAACUGAUGCAUACAGUUGACAUCAAGAGAGCAGAGAUCCUUUGGAGCAAAAGGAAGUGAACUGGCUGAUUAUUGCCUACCAAAGAGGAGAAAUAGGAUUUACUCAUAAGUAAAUCUGAGCACAGUGGGAAAGAGCUAGAUAAACCAAUGGGUGAUUGAUGUUUGUAAUUACUUUGCAAGUAACUUCAGGCUAGAUUUUUGAAGAUGGCUUCUAACCAAGGGGGAAAAAACUCCAUAUUUCUGUGUAUUAGACUUUAGUCUAUGUUGUGGCAGAGAUAAAUAAAUAUUUAAAAAAAAAAAAAAAGGUGUGGUAACAAUAUGAAAAUACUGUUGCUAGGAGGCUAUUGGGGACAAAAUAAAAUGCACUUUUCAAUCCUGAACUAUAGCAAAGAUUUUCAACACACCAAAGUCUGUCUCUCAUACUUUUUUCUUUUUGUUUUUUGAUACAAACACUUUUAUAUCUCCUACAUAAUUAAAAGCAAGAACAGAUUUAAUGAAGCCACACUAAUGUGUUUGCUGAUUCUUUGAAGUUUGGAGUUAAAAAGAGUAGAUUUCUGGGGAGAGAAAAAUAAUUUAUUUGAUGCUAAUGAUUAUUUAAAGAAUUAAUUAGUAGUUACUAGUUAUACUUAGCUUUGUCCCCAAGAACUGAUAACUCAUCUUAAAAUCAAUGGUUGCCUAGUGAUAAGCAAUUACAUAAUUUUAUUACUUGCAGACAAAUAUUGUCUUGGCCUGUAAUGAUGGGCAGAAGCUUAAAGUUGUGAUUUUAUCAGAGUUUUGGAGGUUUCAGCAAGACAUAUGCAUUGCUUUUGACAUUCCUGUCAUCCUCUCACGAAUUUUUUUGUUAUGCAUGGAACAAUUUCCAUUAUGUAAUUUAUGUUUUUAUUUAAGGGUGGAAUAAGGAUGCAAGCAUGGAUUUUCAUUUUGUUUUGGCUUUCUUUUCUUAAUUCUCUCAUAUUUUAAAAAUAUUUUUGUAAGAAAAAAUAUAAUUCUGUGCAAGUCUUCUUUGCUGAGAGCUUUGGCUGGCUGAGAACCAGCAAUUUUGGCAGAAUCAGUGUUUGCCACUUAAUUCUUCCAGUUCAUCUGAGAAAGAGGAUAAGUCCCUGGUAGAUGUGAAUUUGCUGAAUGUGAGCUGCCUCUAAAUACUGAAAGAAAAUAUUGCAAAGGCCAGUCACAAGAACUAUAACGAAAUGAGUUCUUAUUGAAACCAAUGAGUUCUUAUUGACUGAGCAUCUUCUGUGCUUUCACAGAUUUGACUUAUUGCAAGCUAGAUUCUUUACAAGCAGCACUAGUUUUUCUGAAAAUUGAAAGUGAAAAUAAACCACAUAAUCAAUGUAAGAAAAAAAGUGCAACCAACAUAGCAGCCUCAAUUUAUGAGAAGCAGCAAUUUUCAAUACAUGUUUGUUGUCUCUGCCAGCUUUCACUACUACAGAAGUUUCAAAGCCAAAUUAUUACAUUCUCUUAAGGAACACUACUUAGCAUUGUUAUUAUUAUUUAGUUUAUUGCUGGCACGAGUGCUUACACAGUAAGAAGGAUUAGGCUAACCAAACAGUUAAACCUGGGAUAAUCAAGUAGCCUGCUGUGGAUUGGAAUUGGAUUAUAUAGACAUUUGCAGGACUAGAAUACAUGUGGGAGGUGUUGGAGGUGUCCACUCUCUCUCCAGGAGCAUUCAUUUUACUUAUUUUGGCUGAACUUUCCUAGGAAGCAGCUGAUGUAUUUGCUCUCUUUGCUUUCAUGGAGGGAAAAACAACAUUUUACUGUGCUGGAAACAUUUCACCAGCUCAGUAGAGGCCUGCAGAAGCUGGGGAAAAUGCAAGUAACCUUCUUCUAGGGCAUGCUCCUGUGUAAAAUCAUACACCUCUCUUACUGACAGUCAAAUAGAUUUUUCUUUUUUAACUUAUAAGUUGCAAUACCUAUCACCACUUAUAGACAAAAAUUAAACACAUCAUAUAAAACUUGCUUUAGUUUAUUAAUGAAGAGUAAGACAUUAAUGAGUGGCAUUUUAAGUGCUGCAGAACAACCCUGUAUUAUGUCUGUAAUGCCAUCACUUUCCUUUUUGUAUCUAUAAGGCUGCACAACUUGCUUUUUUAGAAACAGUUUUUGUAUAAAAAAUUGACUUCUCCUGUUGUGUGCUGUACUUUGAGUGCAGUGAGGAACAUGGCACAUGGUAGAAUUCUGGCCUUAAAAAAUGUUGCUUGUUUUGAUAUGCCAUAUCAAUUAAUACCUCAUAUAAAAAUCACAUUGAAAACUUCAUGUCAUAGUGAAACAGCAAUUUUCUCACCAGUCAAGCACAAUGGGGGAUCCUCUUGUAAGGAUUUAAGUCUAAAUAAUGCCUUUUUCUCCCUCUGGUUCUUGUUUCACUUUGCAUUUUUUUCUGCUUAAUGAAGAAAAUAAAGGACUUCAGAUCAUGAAGGACAUCAAAUAAACAUGAGCA
ensembl:lncRNA